GAUAUUCUCAUGUUCCCCACCGAUACAUGGACAAUACUUGGUGAUACAGUCAUUUCUUAACAAGUUGACGAUGUGCGAAUUACAGGUGUAUGCUUAUCCAUGAUAUGUGCAAGGUAAUGUAAACUUUAUUUAUUAUGCAAUACCUGUGUUAAAAGCGGCUUUCUGAUUCGUUCCGAGCAGGUGAGCUUUUCACGAACUCACCUGCUCUUCACCGAAAUCGAUAAAGCUGCAUGCUUACGUUGUCGUCCGGGUCUUUUUUGAGCAUUUUCCCGUUGGGUGGGGCAUUUUUUGUAAAGGGACCUUUCUGUGAAAUAAUAUACUAGAAUCGCAUAGCAAUGGCUGAAGGCAUGUGUGUGUGGUCGACAUACCACGCAUGAAUAGGGGGGGUGCCCCAGAAAAUUUUUGAAAUUUGCAGUCCGGAAAUGCCAUUUCCUGUAUUCUGAGCAUCCAAACUUGCUCUAAAAUUUUUUGCUAACUAUACUUGUUUUUGAAAUAAAAGAAGGGGAAAAUACACAUAAAAUUAUUAACAAUAAUUUGUCGGCAAUACUUAGUGGUAGAAAAACGUAACAAUUUAAACAAGAACAAAGCCUAAAACUUACUUUCCAUUUAUCUAUUAUUUGUUAUUCUUCGCUGGUUUGUUUGUAUCAAUUUAGGAAAAAGGGAGGGGGGGGGGCAUGUGAUUUCGUCGGGGCACAGGGGGGGGGACUUCGGGCAUUUGUUAAAAUUGUUCCAUAAUUCGCCGGCAUCUCUAUAACCAAUACUCAUUUUUUAAUAUUUCGUUUCAGGAAGAAGGAAGAUUUAGCUUCAUGUCUGACAACUGAAACACUGAAAAAUACUUCUGAACCAACUCCAUGAGCCGCCAUCUUCAUUGGUUUUUAAAACACACAACAAGUAUUAAUUAUAUAAGUAGCUUUAGAGAUUUCCGCGCAGUAGUAGAUGCGUGAAAUAGAAAAUCACGAUGCGUUGAUAUUUUUAACAUGUG